GAUGAAGGUGAAUCGAGAGGUUUGCUGGACGUAUCAGAAGUGCGAAUGCUGACAUAAGUAACGAUAAAACGGGUGAAAAACCCGUUCGCCGGAAGACCAAGGGUUCCUGUCCAACGUUAAUCGGGGCAGGGUGAGUCGGCCCCUAAGGCGAGGCUGAAAAGCGUAGUCGAUGGGAAACAGGUUAAUAUUCCUGUACUUGGUAAAGCUGCGAUGUGGGGACGGAGUAGGUUAGGUUAUCGCACUGUUGGAUAUGUGCGUUUAAGUUGGUAGGUGGGAAGUUUAGGCAAAUCCGGACUUCUAUUAAACACUGAGAGAUGAUGACGAGGCUCUACGGAGCUGAAGUAACUGAUACCACACUUCCAGGAAAAGCCACUAAGCGACAGGCUUUACUAAACCGUACUGAAAACCGACACAGGUGGUCAGGUAGAGAAUACUCAGGCGCUUGAGAGAACUCGGGUGAAGGAACUAGGCAAAAUAGCACCGUAACUUCGGGAGAAGGUGCGCCGGCGUAGAUUGUAAGGGCUAGCCCCUGAAGGUUGAACCGGUCGAAGAUACCAGCUGGCUGCAACUGUUUAUUAAAAACACAGCACUCUGCAAACACGAAAGUGGAGGUAUAGGGUGUGAUGCCUGCCCGGUGCUGGAAGGUUAAUUGAUGGUGUAAUCGCAAGAGAAGCACCUGAUCGAAGCCCCAGUAAACGGCGGCCGUAACUAUAACGGUCCUAAGGUAGCGAAAUUCCUUGUCGGGUAAGUUCCGACCUGCACGAAUGGCAUAAUGAUGGCCAGGCUGUCUCCACCCGAGACUCAGUGAAAUUGAAAUCGCCGUGAAGAUGCGGUGUACCCGCGGCUAGACGGAAAGACCCCGUGAACCUUUACUAUAGCUUGACACUGAACAUUGAAUUUUGAUGUGUAGGAUAGGUGGGAGACUAAGAAGUAGUCACGCCAGUGAUUAUGGAGUCAUCCUUGAAAUACCACCCUUUAACGUUUGAUGUUCUAACGAAGAUUGCGGAACGCGGUCUCGGACAGUGUCUGGUGGGUAGUUUGACUGGGGCGGUCUCCUCCCAAAGCGUAACGGAGGAGCACGAAGGUUUGCUAAUCACGGUCGGACAUCGUGAGGUUAGUGCAAUGGUAUAAGCAAGCUUAACUGCGAGACAGACAAGUCGAGCAGGUACGAAAGUAGGUCAUAGUGAUCCGGUGGUUCUGAAUGGAAGGGCCAUCGCUCAACGGAUAAAAGGUACUCCGGGGAUAACAGGCUGAUACCGCCCAAGAGUUCAUAUCGACGGCGGUGUUUGGCACCUCGAUGUCGGCUCAUCACAUCCUGGGGCUGAAGUAGGUCCCAAGGGUAUGGCUGUUCGCCAUUUAAAGUGGUACGCGAGCUGGGUUUAGAACGUCGUGAGACAGUUCGGUCCCUAUCUGCCGUGGGCGUAGGAGAAUUGGUUGGGGCUGCUCCUAGUACGAGAGGACCGGAGUGGACGCACCACUGGUGUUCCGGUUGUGUCGCCAGACGCAUUGCCGGGUAGCUAAGUGCGGAAGAGAUAAGUGCUGAAAGCAUCUAAGCACGAAACUUGCCAAGAGAUGAGUUCUCCCUGUCUUUAAGACAGUAAGGGUUGU
rnacentral:rRNA from 1 species